rnacentral:tRNA from 1 species
UGAGGUGCAGCUCAGUGGUAAGCUACUUGCCUAACAUGUAAGAGACCCUUAGUUUAAUCCCCAGCACCUUAA